rnacentral:rRNA from 1 species
UAAGGCACGACGUAGACUAUGUCGUUGAUAGGCCGGAGGUGGAAGUGCAGUAAUGUAUGCAGCUGACCGGUACUAAUAUGCCGAGGGCUUGACCUGAU